rnacentral:lncRNA from 1 species
CAGGAAAUCCAGCAUAUUACCACAGUCAAAACUCACUUUAAUUUUUUCAAAAUCCGUUCAUGUUUUUUAAUACCGUUCAUGUUUUUAAUAAAACAGAAAUGAUUACCGUUUGGCGGUCACGCGCGAACACUUUAGCUGCGAGGAAGGAAAUACUUUGUGUAAACGUAUUACAUAGCUCCCAGAAGAAUAAAAUCACCAUUUUUUCAAGUAAAAGUUUGUAAAACGGUCUUUUUAUAGAGAGUUUUUGCACUAAACUCGGACAGAUUUAAAAAAAUAAAUUAAAAAAAUUGGAGGUCGG